AAUGGCACUGGGAUGGAUGGUAG
rnacentral:miRNA from 1 species